rnacentral:tRNA from 1 species
UCGGGAUAGCUCAGUUGGUAGAGCAGAGGACUG